GAGGGAAUAGCUCAGUGGUAGAGCACAUGCUUAGCAUGCACAAGGUCCUGGGUUCAAUCCCCAGUACCUCCA
rnacentral:tRNA from 1 species